rnacentral:SRP_RNA from 1 species
GCCAGGCAUGGUGGUGCACACCUGUAGUCCCAGCUACUCAGGAGGCUGAGGUGGGAGGAUCGCUUGAGCCCAGGAGUUCGAGGCUGCAGCAAGCCAUGAUUAUGCCACUGCACUCCAGCCUGGGCAACAGAGCAAGACCCUGUCUCUU